AUUGGGUGCACGAGAUGCUCCACAACCUGCUCUUAAUAAGUUGAUCCUUCAUGUCCAUAGUGCUAUCCUUGCAAGGUUAAUUGUAGAGCUUCCAGCCAAGCACAUUAUGCCAAAAAUGAUUGAAGUUUAUUCUUGCGGCUUCCUGGCGGCGGCUGCGGGUGGGUGAGCACGGCCUCAGCUAAAGCACAACAAUGGCUAUCGAGUGACCAGCAAAAAGUAUGAGCUUGUGUUAUCGUGGUAGCACAUUGUCGUCGCUCCAGGCAAACCCCCAGUGAUAUCCACAUGCUUUCUCGGACACAUCCAUUCCAUGGUGCCGCCCAUCCCCACCCGCCCCCAGCCCAGCGGUGGGCUGGCUGAACCGGAGCCUGAAGCACGCUGCAGGGUAGCAACAAACAUUGUUGUUCAUGUCGUAUAUUGCUGCUGCAGGUUAAAUGUAGAGCUUCCAGCCAAGCACAUUAUGCCAAAAACGAUUGAAGUUUAUUCUUGCGGCUUCCUGGUGUCGGCUGUAGGUGGGUGUGCACGGCCUCAGCUAAAGCACAACAAUGGCUAUCGAGCGACCAGCAAAAAGUAUGAGCUCGUGUUAUCGUGGUAGCACAUUGUCGUCGCUCCAGGCAAACCCCCAGUGCUAUCCACAUUCUUUCGCGUGGGAAGGUGAGUAUUUAUGUUGCACUUUUAACAGAUUUAUAGGUUCACUCCUUUUUUUGGUUUUAAUUGUGAGCUUCUCCGUUCACGCCUUUCAAGUGGAUGAGAUAUUUGUUCAAACAAUUAAAGAUGCAGGCCUCUAUGAUACAAUUUGGCUGGCUUCUGUUAUGGUUUUGCAUGUCCAAACAGUUGGGGUCCAGGUGACCGGAGAACUCAUUCACUAUGUUCUUGCUUGAGUACUUGGAUAAAAAUUCCGUUUUCUUCGAGCAUUUGCUACUGCUACUCCAUGUCAUCAGGCAAGCAUAAAUAAAGAAAGUAUCCAAUACUAUUAGGUAAUUUUUGGAACACAUUCACUGUGCUUCCCUAUUAACAAGUUGCACCUCAAAAUAAAAGCACAAACGGUUUAGGGAGUUAAGACUCACAACAUGUCUCUUUCUUCAAUGAGAUGCCUAAGGUUUUGCAGAAUGCGUGCCACAAAUAUUACAGGGGUUGGGCCUAGCAAGGCAGUUUUAAGAGUUUCAGUUCGCGAGCAUGCUAAUCGAUUUAUUUUUUCAAUUUCUUAUUCAUGUAUACACCAAUGCAUUGUGGGAUGAGUUCUCAUUUAGCAAACUUGAUUGCCGUAUGUAACUUAGAUAAGCAACUCUCGGUAAUUCUGACAGUCAUUCUGUUAAACCACCUAAUUGGUUAGUUUGCAGGCUCACUGUUCCUCGUUUCCCCUUUUUAUCUCCCCCUCCCCUGGUGAGCUCUUGUUCACUCGUGACAGAUAUGAUUAUUUCAGUUUAGUUGUUAGCUAUCUGCAUAGUGCAUAGGGCUUGGGACAUGAUCAGGUUGAUGAAUGCCAUUUCAUGCAACCACAUGUGCAGUUAGUUACUUAGGUUACUUUGUUUUGUUUAGUACUCGAAUAAUAUAGGGGGUGCGUAAUUUGAUAAACUACCCCCACUUUUGCUUCAGGUAUCAUUUUAUUGGUGCUAUUUCAUAUUUGGUUUUGUUUCAAGUAAACUGUGGAAUAUUCAGCUUUGUUUUACCAAUUACAACACAGGUCAUAUUUAAAAGCAUCUAUCUAUACUCCGUCCAUUCAUAUUUAAUUGACGCUAAUUGGAACCAACACCCAGCACAGUAGUGUGUGUAGCUGCAUUGAUUAAUACAGAACAGAGGUAGUAGUUUCCUAUUUACGAGGUGGAAUUCCUUGUAUGUAUAGAGAUAGUUUUAACUUCCCAGUGGCAUUUUCAUUUUGCCGCGGUGCCUUUCGUACUGAGAUGUAUGAACUGUUAAUUUCCCUUGGUGGUUUAGUGAUUGAUUUGUACUGUUUGCUCGAUAUUAAUCCCAUCCAUUUUCUGAACACUAUUGAAUAUUUAGAGUUGAAGUAAGCCUUUGUGUAGUUCACUAUAAUUGUGCAAAUAUAUAAACUGUAAGCUGAACGAGUCAAGUCCAAUUGACCUCUUCUUUAAGUGAUCUUCAUAGUAACCCAGUGG